rnacentral:rRNA from 1 species
GGCCCAGGGGCAUACGUCACUGAGGGGAACGUUCAUCUACACCUCUCCACCUGCAGUUACAUACGAUCUGUUUACAUAUGCUCUCAACAGAGCCUAUCAUGCGACAUCAUAUCCAGACGCGAGCGAGACGUGCGCAUCUCUGCGUCUGUCCUGCCGCGUAUGGGCCAAGCAUUUCACGGC